UAUAAAGGGCACCUCGGCGAAUGUUAAAGUUUUGAAAACUCCCGACAAAAAUCCAGCCACCGAUGGACAGGAAUUUUUAUCAUCGUCGAACACCAGCUCGAAUUAUGCAAGAUCCGUUGAAAGCAACAGCAGCAUCGACGAGGUACGCCAUGCGAUACUUAUCUUCUAGAGAUUAUCGAGCAACUCGUGAUCGAAUUAUCUCUCCUUAUCCUCCGCGUGUGUCAUUAUCAUUAUCAUUUUUACACCGAUCGGAAAGCUAUUCCAUUUUGCAACGUGUUUCAACGCGAAGCAAAAGAAUUUUUUGGAAGAAAAGGAGACAUUUUUACCUCGACCACGCAUCAUCUGCAUUUCAGUUAUCCUACGAAUGAUGAAAAAAAUUCGGCACGCGCUUUUCACGUGCAGAAAAAUUAAAUAACGAAAUGGGAUACUGCAUUAUUAUAUACAAAGGUACGGUAUACACAUGUAUAAGAGACGUCGAUAGUGAACCACCUUGAGAAUCGAGACGCAGACUGUACAUACACAUAGGUAUACGUGAGUUAUAUGUAUGCCGUAUAAUUUAGCUCCGUGAUCCGCGGAGUCAUAAUAUAAUCGUACCUAAACGAUAUACCAUACGGUACGCAUAUACGCUUUUUUCGAUCUUUUACUUAAUUCUAUUUUUUUCUCAUUUCGGGGUCAGUUUUGGGUUAUUCUUUUCUUUUCCUUUUUUUUUUUAUUUGAAUUUAUUUCAUCCCAGUACGAUGCAAUGAUUUAUAUAAUAAUCGAAAAAUGGGUAUAUUACGCCCAGUACAUUUGCUCAUAGAUUUUUUCAACUUGAAUCUCGAUGACUCGUUUGUGAGGAGAAAAAAUGAAAAAACAAACGGUACAAUAAAACGGAAAGGAGACAUAAUAAAACGAAAGAUAUGAUGCAUAGAUGUAUGAAUCAAUGAAUGGAAGAAAAAAUGAGUAGUAACAACAGUAAUAAUAACAGUAAUAAUAAUAAUAACAACAAUCGUUUCAAGGUGAUAUACCAUAGCACGUACAAUUGUUAUCAUCGUCGUCUACGUCAUUAUCAUUAUCAUUAUAAUUUUUAUUAUUAUCAUCGUGAUGGUUUUUGUUGUUAUCAUUAUCAUUAUACCGCUUUAGAGUUGAUACACAAUCGUGUGUCCACGAUUUAUGGUAUACCUUGCACACACAUACGUAAAGAAUAAGCAUAUACCUGUUUAAAGUACAUACCAUGUAUGCGUAUAAGUUCAGUCGCGUCAAGGAAAUUCCGGAAAUUCUGGAUCAAUGCUAUGUAGGCAAUGAAUUAUACUUACAAUUAGCUCUAUAGCUUCGAUAGAAUAUAAAAUAGAGAAAGUGUAGGAAUUUUUCAUGAAAUUACGAUCGAACGAUCGUUAUCGACGACCUUGAGGUAUACGGUAUAUUGGAGAGUUCGAUGCUGCGUGCCAUGCACGUCGUCCUCUGCUGAUUAUCACAUCCAAGCAACGGACGAUUAGUAAUAUCUAUCGACGAUAUUUGUGCACACUCAUAUACAUAUAUAAAAUAGUACAAGAUUACAUACGUUUAACUUACAUACAUGUAUGUAUAAGUAUGUACAGAAUUUGCUUUUUCUUUCAUAUUAUUUUCGAGCUUUCUUUUUCUCUCCUCUUUUUUGAAAAAUAUACAUAUGUAUAGUAAGUAACAUGGCUCAGAGGAUUUGUUAUACGUACAAGUUUUUAAAUAAUAGUAAAAUAGUUGGAAGAAAUCGAUGGAAUUUUAAAUGGCAAUUAUGAAAUUUCACACGGUCGGAGCACACCUGAUUAUUAUUACUGUUAUUAUCAUUGUUGUUGUUGUUGUUAUUAUUAUUAUACUAGGUGACCUCCGAAAAUGAGGUCUUAAAACUUGUUUGCUAUGCAACGAACGCGAUAGCGUGUACAUAUAUUAUGAAAAAGUACGCUCGAAAGUGCACCUCACGUACAUAAGUUACCGCGAUGAAUCUUUUUUUUUUAAAUUUGUUUAGUUAUUUUUUUCGAACAGAUAUAUGUAUAUGAUAAACUCAGAUCACGACGAUUUCUGUAACUGUUACGAUAUACGUACAAUAUUAGUUAACCGGUGAAAUUAUAUAAUAUAUAGGCCGAAAUGUGUAGAGAAUAUAUAGAUGAUAGAAAAAAAUGAAAAAAUAGGCGAGCAUAUAGAUGAGAAAAAUAAUGAAAUAGGUAUCUAUGUAACUCGAGAAUUCGAUGGUGCUGAUUAUAUAAUUUUCUUCUUGGAUUGAGAAAAAAGAAUAAUGUUAUAAUAUCUAUCGCGUGCAUCGGAUGAAUAAUCGCGCAUACGAUUCGGAUUAUAAUUGUGAUUUUCGUUAUGGUUAUUUUUCAAUUAUCACACGAAUUGUUUUCUACAUUAUUAAUUCGCUAAUUAUUUCUCAUAUUUUCCACGAAUCUAUACCCGAUUACACGUGAUGCGCGCACAACGAUGAUUACAUAGGUGAUGUAAGAAUUUUUCUACCCGCAUUAUACGCUUUGAUACACGAUGUAGAAAAUGAUAAUUCUCACGCGCGUAUAUGCAGCGACACAAUGAAGCUGCGACGACGUGUUUUGCGGUUGCAUAAAAUGAAAUUUUCUCGCGUCAAAUAAAUUAGAUACGUGUGACGAUGUGGGUGCAGAGGGAAGAUAUAUGUAUUGAAAAAUUUUUGUAAAGUCACGAGUUUUCUAUUUUAUAUAUCAUUAGAGAAUUGAUUUGUACAGCUGGGUGUUUCUUCUUACGUGUUACGCGUAUAGCCAAAUACAAAGGCAACGAUAUACUUGUACCCAUGGAGUAUAACGUGUAAUUGAAACCAAUUGGAAUUGAAUACACUUAUUCAAAUACGGCAACGGCACAUAGGUACAGGUAUUACGUACGUGCAGCUAAAAUUUGAACAGGUGUUCCAUGUUUGGAGGGGGAAAAGACGAAUAGUUUUAAUUUAUACGUGAGUUCCGUGAAUUUCUAGAAUACUGUCGACAUAGAAACUCGUGACAUAAUUUAUUUCACGAACGCCCUCGAUAAUUAAUUGAUUAUCUAGAUUGUGAAAAUUAGAAUAUCUCGAUGACAUUUAGUCCCAGCUGAAUUUACCAAAAAGAUUCGUGCUGCUAAAGUCAGGCAACGUAUGAGAUGAAGGCGAUAUGAAAAAUUACCCAGUUUUUUCAUACGUCAUUCGAGUUGUGUUUUUUGGGUUUUAAUUUUGUAUACAGGAUGCCUGACUUUAGGAGAAUUAGGGGUAGCUGACUUGCAGGCGUUGGCGAACAGAUUUUUCUAUAAAAUGUCUUCCUCCCAUCCUUCCCCAGCUCCUGGACGUCAGGAUGCUGUUCGAUGAAGAUUAUAGCUUUAGGAUAAACGGGAAAGUGAUCGAAAGAGGAGUGUGAAAUGUCAAUCAUGAGAAAGUGGAUCAUUCUAUUGGGAAAAUGAUAUUGUGCCACGUUAUAUUCAACAGGAAGAGAACCGUGCAGGAUACCUCUUGUCAGGAGGAAGGUAGGAUGACAAGGUAGGAUUUCUCAGACCCGCCUCUGCAACUCUAAUUUCUCUUCGAUUACAGCUGAAGAGUGUGUGAACCUGAAUCUUUUUCGAAACGUAACGAGUGUCUGCUGCAUCUUUUGCAGCUUGAAGAUUUGUUUCGGGGAGAUCGACGUCUACACCUCUGUGAGGGCUGACGAAUGAAGACUUUUGGCUCCAGAAUCAACGAAAGAGGAACAAGUAUGAACCGGAUUGUAGCAUCCGAUCAAAUGUAUGCAUCUCAGAGAUUGAGAGAGACCCCAACGGAGGACGAGCAAACGGCAGAGUUUUCCUGCAGGUGAUCGAUAACACCGUUCGUUGGCAGCUCUUCGCAAGUUUAUAGGCGACAUAGUUUUCUAGGAACGAACAUUGCACGCUAUGGCCAUUUUGUCGCAUUUCCGAGCGAAAAAAUGGAGAUCUCUCGACGAUUAUCAGGAGUUAAUCAAUCAAUUCGGAAAACAGGCAGUUCUACCUGGUGUAUUAUCAUGUAUUUUGAGUUCAGGGAUCCGCAGCUGCUACCUAAAUUAAUUUAUCGAACGACUCGGUCGAUUAACGGCGACUGUGCUCACCAAGUUGGUUUAUUUAUCGAAUCAAUCGAGUAACCACGAAUCUUUCACUGUAAUGAGCAGAGAAAUUGAAAUAUCUCUGUAGCUUUGAGUCGUAGCUCACUUAAUUCGACGAAUUUAUGUUCUCAAACUCGGGAUAUAUCAGAAUAAGGUAUUUUAACACAUUUGAGACAUAUCCUUCAUUAUGCCAGCAAGACUGGCGAAUCGCUGAGACCCCGGUCUCCGCAUAUAUCGAUUUUCGAGUCGACAAUGAACUCUAGUUCCUGAAGUUUCGGCUUUUCUACGUAUUGAGGGCUCAGAAACGAUGGAAAUACUGAUCCUCUGUUUCAAUUAAUUGACUUUGCUGUACUUUACUGCUUUGGAAAGCCAAGAAAUUGUAAUAUCUUAAUAGCUCUUGGUCGUUGUUCAAUUUUGUCAUAAGAUUGUUGUUUCCAAGAUCGAAAUACAUGAAACUACUCUUGUGUCA